ensembl:snoRNA
UCUGGCAUUGAUGACAAACUUGCCCUCACUGAGCGUUUUUUAAACCCGAUAAUGAGCCAUUGAUAUCUGAGCCAGA